CCUGCAAUUCUUUUUUCAUGUUCAUCCCGAGCUUCUAAAGCUCCUCUAUGUCCUUGAUCAUUGUCAAAUAAUGAUCAUUAAUGGAUUGUUCAUCAUGCAUCUUCACUUUGAAAAGUCUCCGAGAGACCUCAAAAUGAGCUGUGUGACUCUGCUCACCAUAUAACUCUUAUAGAUAAGUCAGCAUCUCUCUGACAGUCUUUAUGUCUUCAUGCUGUCACUGAAGAUCAUUGGACAUAGACACUAAUAUGUAGUACUUUGCCUUGUUAUCUUCAUCCAUCCAUUUUUCAAGUGCAGCUCGUUGAUCAGGGAAUGGACGAACAGGUAACACAGAUGCUUCCUGAUCAAGGACAUGGGUGAGUUUCUCAGAGCUGAGAAUGAUUCUCAGAUUCUGGAGUCAGUCUUUGUAAUUGAUACCGGUCAAUCUAUUGGUGUCUAGGAUAUGGGCUAAAGGGUCGGAACUCGACAUGGUUAUCUGUAAAGAGAAUAGUUUCUAGUUAGAUAUUUGUACUUAUAAGAUUGUUUAUUUUAAAGACUUUAAAAAUAAACAAAGGCUUUCACUAUUUCCUCG
rnacentral:lncRNA from 1 species